ACAGUUAGGGGAGAACACUUCUUGAAAUUUUGUAAGGGAUCAUCUUAUUUACUACCGUCGUCCUAAGUAAACAAGAUGCAUAAACAUAAUAAACAUCACAUGCAAUUAUAUAGUUGUGACAUGAUAUGGCCAAUAUCAUCAAGCUCCAUUGAUCUCCAUCUUCGGGGCUCCAUGAUCAUCUUGUCACCGGCUUGACACCAUGAUCUCCAUCAUCAUGAUCUCCAUCAUCGUGUCUUCAUGAAGUUGUCAUGCCAACGACUACUUCUACUUCUAUGACUAACGCGUUUAGUAAUGAAGUAAAGCAGUUUACAUGGCGUUCUUCAAUGACACGCAGGUCAUACAAAAAAUAAAGACAACUCCUAUGGCUCCUGCCGGUUGUCAUACUCAUCGACAUGCAAGUCGUGAAUCCUAUUACAAGAACAUGAUCUCAUACAUCACAAUUCAUCAUUCAUCACAACUUCUGGCCAUAUCACAUCACAUGAUCAAUCGCUGCAAAAACAAGUUAGACGUCCUCUAAUUGUUGUUGCAUCUUUUACGUGGCUGCGAUUGGGUUCUAGCAAGAACGUUUUCUUACCUACGAAUCACCACAACGUGAUUUUGUCAACUUCUAUUUACCCUUCAUAAGGGCCUUGUUCAUCGAAUCCGCUCCAACUAAAGUGGGAGAGACAGACACCCGCCAGCCACCUUAUGCAACUAGUGCAUGUCAGUCGGUGGAACCGGUCUCACGUAAGCGUACGUGUAAGGUUGGUCCGGGCCGCUUCAUCCCACAAUACCGUUGAGCAAGAAAAGACUAGUAGAGGCAAGUAAGAUGAGAAGAUCAACGCCCACAACCAAUUGUGUUCUACUCGUGCAUUAGAGAACUACGCAUAGACCUAGCUCAUGAUGCCACUGUUGGGGAACGUUGCAGAAAAUUAAAAUUUUUCCUACGUCUUCACCAAGAUCCAUCUAUGAGUUCAUCUAAGCAAUGAGUAACGGGAGAGAGUUUGCAUCUACAUACCACUUGUAGAUCGCAUGCGGAAGCUUGCAAGGUGAUGAUGGAGUCGUACUCGAACGUGAUUCAGAUCACCGAUGUCCAAGUGCUGAACGGACAGCACCUCCGCGUUCAACACACGUACGGGACGAGCGACGUCUCCUCCGUCUUGAUCCAGCAAGGAGGAAGGAGAGGUUGAGGAAGACAACUCCACUGGCAGCACGACGGCGUGGUGAUGGUGGAGAAGCAGUACUCCGACAGGGCUUCGCCGAGCUCUUACGGAGGAGGAGAAGUGUUGGGGAGGGGAGGGGCUGCGCCUUGGAGAUGGGUACAGCAGCCCCCCUCCCUCCCCCCCUUUAUAUAGGCCCCCUGGGGGGGGGUGGCCGGCCCCUGGAGAUCCAAUCUCCAGGGGGGGCGGCGGCCAAGGGGGGUGGAGUGCCCCCCAAGCCAGGUGGGGCGCCCCCCACCCCUAGGGUUUCAACCCUAGGCGCAGGGGGUGGGCCUAGGGGGGCGCACCAGCCCCCUGUGGGCUGGUUCCCUUCCCCCUUUGGCCCAUGGGGCCCUCCGGGAUAGGUGGCCCCACCCGGUGGACCCCCGGGACCCUUCCGGUGGUCCCGGUACUUUACCGGGAGACCCCGAAACUUUCCCGAUGGCCGAAUCACCACUUCCUAUAUAUUAUUCUUUACCUCCGGACCCUUCCGGAACUCCUCGUGACGUCCAGGAUCUCAUCCGGGACUCCGAAAAACAUUCGGUAGUCACAUACUUGACUUCCUACUAACCCUAGCGUCACCGAACCUUAAGUGUGUAGACCCUACGGGUUCGGGAGACACGCAGACAUGACCGAGACGACUCUCGGGCAAUAACCAACAGCGGGGUCUGGAUACCCAUGUUGGCUCCCACAUGCUCCUCGAUGAUUUCAUCGGUUGAACCACGAUGUCGAGGAUUCGAUCAAACCCUGUAUGCAAUUCCCUUUGUCAAUCGGUACGUUACUUGCCCGAGACUCGAUCGUCGGUAUCCCAAUACCUUGUUCAGUCUCGUUACCGGCAAGUCACUUUACUCGUACCGUAAUGCAUGAUCCCGUGGCCAACACCUUGGUCAACUUGAGCUCAUUAUGAUGAUGCAUUACCGAGUGGGCCCAGAGAUACCUCUCCGUCAUACGGAGUGACAAAUCCCAGUCUCGAUCCGUGUCAACCCAACAGAUACUUUUGGAGAUACCUGUAAUGCACCUUUAUAGUCACCAAGUUACGUUGUGACGUUUGAUACACCCAAGGCACUCCUACGGUAACCGGGAGUUACACGAUAUCAUGGUCGAAGGAAGAGAUACUUGACAUUCGCAAAGCUCUAGCAAACGAACUACACGAUCUUUUAUGCUAUGCUUAGGAUUGGGUCUUGUCCAUCACAUCAUUCUCCUAAUGAUGUGAUCUCGUUAUCAACGACAUCCAAUGUCCAUAGUCAGGAAACCAUGACUAUCUAUUGAUCACAACGAGCUAGUCAACUAGAGGCUCACUAGGGACAUUUGUGGUCUUCGUGUUCACACGUGUAUUACGAUUUCCGGAUAAUACAGUUAUAGCAUGAACAAAAGACAAUUAUCAUGAACAUUGAAAUAUAAUAAUACUUUUAUUAUUGCCUCUAGGGCAUAUUUCCAACACAUAGUGCCCCUUAGUUGGUGCUUUAUAAGAGAAGAUGGAGACUCAAAUUCAAAAUAAAAAUGCAUAAGUAAGAAAGGCCCUUCGCGGAGGGAAGUAGGGAUUUGUAUAGGUGCUAGAGCUCAAAGCUUAAAUUGAGUGAUAAAAAUAUAUUUUUGAGAGGCAUACUUUUCCCACCAACGAAAACGACUUAGAGAUCUCAACACUUUCCAUGCUAGAUACAACCUAGGCGGUUCCCAAACAGAAAAUAAAGUUUAUUCCUUUUUCCACCAUUACUUUCAGUUUCCAUGGCUAGCCGAAUCCAUGGUUGCCUUCCAUACCAACACUUUCCAAGGAAUUUAUUAUUUGACAACAUGAAGUAAAUUCAUUUUUCAUUUCGGGAUUGGGCAUCCCUAAUACCUUUGUUGUACUCUCGUGCAAUGACAAGUGAAUAAACACUCAUCGUGAGAAUAACACAUCUAGCAUGGAAAAUAUUGGUCACCCUUCACCGCCUCGCGAGCGGUAGAGCACACAAAAGAGAAAUUUAUUUUGAAAAUUAGAGAUGGCACAUGCGAAUUUGCUUAGAACGGCAUAGAAAUACCACAUAUAGGUAGGUAUAGUGGACUCAUAAGGCAAAACUAGUUUAAAGGGUUUUGGAUGCACAAGUAGUGAUCAUACUUAGUGCAAAAUGAAGGCUAGCAAAAAGAUUGAGAAGCGACCAACCAAAAAGCGAAAAAUCUCGUACCCAAGCAUUAAGCAUAAGUAAUACAGAAUAAUGCACCAUAAGUAGGAUAUAAAUUUCAUUGCAUAACUAUUGACUUUCGUGCUUGCAUAGGGAAUCACAAACCUUAACAUCAAUAUUCUUACUAAAGCACAAUUACUCAUCAAUAUGACUCACAUAUCAUAUCGUCAUAUCUCAAAACCAUUACUAAGAAUCAAGUUUAUUUUGUUCAAUGAUCUUCAUGAAAGUUUUUAUUAUAUCCUCCUUGGAUAUCUAUCACUUUGGGACUAUUUUCAUAUGUUGCUUUUGAUAAGCUCAAACAAAUAUAAGUGAAGAACAUGAGCAUAAAUUUUCUUUCUCUCAAAAUAAUCUAAGUGAAGCAAGAGAGAAUUUAUUAAAAAUUUACUAACUCCCAAAUAAAUCUAAGUGAAGCAUGCGAGCAUUUCUUCAAAAAUAACAAAGCACACCGUGCUAAAAAAUAUAUAAGUGAAGCACUAGAGUAAAUCCAUGGCUCUAAAAAUUUAAGUGAAGCAUAGGAGCAAGUAUAGCAUAAUUUUUGGCUCUCUCAAAAGGGUGUGUCCAGCAAGGAUUCAACACAUAAAACACAAAGCAAAACAAGCAAAGACUCAUAUCACACAAAACGCUCCAAGCAAAACUCAUAGUAUGUGACGAAUAAAAAUAUAGUUUCAAGUAAAAUACCGAUGGUUGUUAGAAGAAAGCGGGGAUUCCACUCGGGGGCAUCCCCAAGCUUAGUUGCUUGCUACUUCUUUGAAUAUUAUCUUGGAGUUCCUCGGGCAUCCCCAAGCUUAGCAUUUUGCUAAUCCUUAUUCCUUCAUCCAUCGUAAGAUAACCCAAAACUUGAAAACUUCAAUCACACAAAACUCAAACAAAACCUUCGUGAGACCCGUUAGUAUAAGAAAGCAAACCACUGUGACAAGUACUAUAGAAAACAUAUUCGUAUUUUUUUGCAUUAUAUCUACUGUAUUCCAACUUUUCUAUGGCAAAAACUCAUCAAAGAAAACCAUAGAAUCAUCAAAACAAGCACACAACGCAAAGAAAACAGAAUCUGUCAAAAAGAGAACAGUCUGUAGCAAUCUGAAUAUUUCGAAUACUUCUGUAACUCCAAAAAUUCUGAAAUAAAUUGGUGGACGUGAUAAAUUUGUCUAUUAAUAUUGCACAAAAAUAAUAAACUCAAAAGCACUUUUCUGUUAAAAAUGAAAAAUAAUCUCAUGAGCGCAAAAGUUUCUGUUUUUCAGCAAGAUCAAAUCAACUAUCACCCAAAUCUUCCAAAGGCCUUGCUUGGCACAAACACUAACUAAAACACAAAAAACACAAUCAUAACAGUAGCAUAAUUGUGCUAACACACAAGAACAGAAAGCAAAAAGGAAAAAUAAAUUUUAUUCAUUGGGUUGCCUCCCAACAAGCGUUAUCGUUUUACGCCCCUAGCUAGGCAUAACGCAUAGGAUCUAAGUUUUCUCACCCUUAUCCUUCUUUUCCUUGGAGGUAUUUGUGUCAGGAGGUUUUGUAAAUAAAACAUAAAACACAUUAUCCAUGGAAACCUUAGCACUAUCAAGUUGCUUUUUAUCAUAACCCCUUUGAUUUCUGGCAGUGAUCCAAGAAUAAUGUUGAUUAACAUCGUUAAAAACUUGUUGGAUCAUAUCUAAAACAUGGACUUUCUUUUUAAGAUUUUCACCAAAGAUUUGGUUAUCGCAAAUGUAUUAAAGCAUAAUCACUGCUAUAAAUAAUUUCAUCAAUCACGGGGUUUUCACGAUUCAUGCCAUAAAAAUCAAAGAUUUCCCUAGCUUCCCGUAUUAUGUAGUCAAAUUCAUUCAUCAAAACAAGGGUGGCUAACUUUUUAGCUUUAGGAUCCUUUAUAAUGGGAAACUCAUAGAACAAUCUUUGCAAGGUAGGAUGAGUAGGAAUAAAUCUAGCUUCAAGCUUCAAAACAAGUGCCAAAAUAGCUUCCACAUAAGAUUUAGUCCUUUUAAGUAUAGGGAUAUCAUCAAGACUUAAUUUUCUGACACAAUUGAAAAAUUCUUGGAUAUGUUUUUUCCCAUAAAAUUCCCUUGCCCCAAAACAAAAGUUUUGGCAUCCAGAUUACCCGUACGCUCCAUUUUAGGAGUUAGGCCAUCAUUUGCUUCUGCCAUACCAAAGUCACUCAUGGUGACGAGUUCAAGCAAAUAAGAGAUCUAGAAAAAGGUGAACGAAAAAUAGGCAAAUAAAACGACAAUUUUUUGUGAAGUGGGGGAGAGGAAAACGAGAGACAAAUGAAAAAUAAUGUAAAUUGCGAGGAGAUGAGAUUUGUGAUCAGGAACCUGGUUGAUGUUGAAGAUCCUCCCCGGCAAUGGUACCAGAAGUUCCUUUUGAUGUCUGCUAGAACUACGUCGGUAUUUCCCCAAAGAGGAAGGGAUGAUCCAGUAUAGCGAUGGUAGGUAUUUGCCUCAGUGAUGAGACCAAGGUUAUCGAACCAGUAGGAGAAUCUCCUCACACCACGUAAACAACACCUGCACACAAAUAACAAAUACUCGCAACCCGAUGUGUUAAAGGGGUUGUCAAUCCCUUUCGGGUACGGUGCCUCAAGAUAGGCAAAUAACGUGAGGUAAAAGUGGUAGAUAGGAUAAAUAGAUCGCGGAACAAAUAAAUUGCAGCAAGGUAUUUUUGGUUUAAUAGAUCUGAAAGGAAAGGAAAAUAGAUUGCAAAGGCAAAUAUGAUGAAAGAGACCUGGGGGCCGUAGGUUUCACUAGUGGCUUCUCCCGAGAAAAAUAGCAAACGGUGAGAAAACAAUUACUGUUGGGCAAUUGAUAAAACUUCAAAUAAUCAUGACGAUAUCCAGGCAAUGAUCAUUAUAUAGCAUCACGCCCAAGAUUAGUAGACUGGCUCCUGCCUGCAUCUACUACUAUUACUCCACACAUCGACCGCUAUCCAGCACGCAUCUAGUGUAUUAAGUUCAUGGAAAAAUGGAGUAAUGCAAUAAGAACGAUGAUAUGAUGUAGACAAGAUCCAUUUAUCUAUUUAUUUAUAUAUAGAUCCCAUCUUGUUAUCCUUAGUAGCAACAACACAUACAUGUCGGUUCCCCUUCUGUCAUCGGGAUCAAGCACCAUAAGAUCGAACCCACUACAAAGCACCUCUUCCCAUUGCGAGAUAAAUAGAUCAAGUUGGCCAAACAAAACCCGAAUAUCGGAGAAGAAAUACGAGGCUAUAAGCAAUUAUGCAUAUAAGAGAUCAAAGAAAACUCAAAUAACUUUCAUGGAUAAAAACAUAGAUCUCAUCAUAAACUCAAAGUUCAUCGGAUCCCAACAAACACACCGCAAAAAGGCUUACAUCAUAUGGAUCUCCAAGAGACCAUUGUAUUGAUAAUCAAGAGAGAGAGGAAGCCAUCUAGCUACUAACUACGGACCCGUAGGUCUACAAAGAACUACUCACGCAUCAUCGGAGAGGCACCAAUGGAUCUGGUGGUUCUGGACUCUGCGGCAGCUGGAAUUGAUUUUCGUCGGCUCCUCUAGGGUUUCUGGAAUAUUGGGGUAUUUAUAGAGCAAAGAGGUGGUUCAAGGGGCACCCGAGGUUGGCACAACCCACCAGGGCGCGCCUGGGCCUCCUGGCACGCCCUGGUGGGUGCUGCCCUCCUCGAGGCACCCCCAGGUGCAGCCUUGGCCCACUAAAUGUCUUCUGGUCCAAAAAAAUCCUCAAGAAGUUUCGUUGCGUUUGGACUCCGUUUGGUAUUGAUUUCCUGGGAUGUAAAAAACUUGCAGAAAACAACAACUGGCACUGGGCACUAUGUCAAUAGGUUAAUACCAAAAAAUGAUACAAAAUGACUAUAAAAUGAUUGUAAAACAUCCAAGAAUGAUAAUAUAACAGCAUGGAACAAUCAAAAUUAUAGAUACGUUGGAGACGUAUUAGAGCCCAACCACCUGCACCUAUCCUCUCUCUCUCAGAAUUCGCUCUUUCUCUCUCUCUUUCUCGGAUUCAACCAUCGCAGCAAGCACCGCCCGCCAUCGACAUAGCCACCAGCCACCCCUCACCAAACUAUCGUGUCCAAAGCCUCCAAGAUCUCAUGAAGGUCCUCUACACCGACAGAAUCGAGAUAAAAAGCCCGGAGCUGACCCAGUCGAGCCAUUAGACUGCGGCCGCUGGACGCCGACGAGCGAUUUUCCACGCACAAAUGAGCCCCAAUCUAGGCGUUGCCUCCAUUAGGCUCACGUGAGCCUCUCCUAGUUUCCCCUCUGUUCGAGAGCUUGCACUCGUGUUGUAGUUGUCUUCCACGCGAGCUCAUUGCCUUCGUGCGCCAUGGCCCAUGUGCUCCUCAUUUUCGAGCUCCCCUUUGUGUCAUCAUGCUGCCUUUCGUGCUCAACUGGUCCGUAGAUGCCGCCCAUUUGCAUAGUUCGCUCGGGUUCAUGUCGUAAUGCUCACAUCGUCAUAGCCGUGGCUCUUCCGCUGCUUAGCUCUGUUCCUAGCCUACUUACGGCCCUCCCACAACCCCCAAGACCACCCAUGGAUGCACGCGAGCGCGGUCCACACCCUGGUAGCCUCCAACGCCGCUAUCGUGGCCUCCAGCGAGACUCCAUCGUGACUCGAGGUUGCUGACAAUUAACCCUAGCCAUGUCGAUGUGGCACCAUUAGUUUAGGUUGACUAGGGUUAGACUGAGACAUUGGCAUGUGAGUCCCCUUUUGUUAAUGAUGUAGUUAGGGCUAAAUUAGUCCUCUAUUAGUCUCCAUGCAACCGAGAUGUGGCCCGCAUGUGUCAUAUUUGACUUGGCUCAGUCAAUGUUGACCGGGCCCAACAGUUAGUGAGAGUGCCUAGCUGAGAGGGACCCACCUGCUUGUCAAAUACCUCCUUUGACCGUGUCCAUGUUAGCAUCCGGUUUGGGCAAACCACCCAGGUUUUUUUGUCUGGUAUGGGAUUGUUUAGGGGGGUAAGGGAACCGGAAAAAAUUCAGGGGGUAAUGUAAACCACUAACUUUGUUCAGGGUAGUAAAAUGGCCUUUUUUCUUCCAUAAAAAUAAUAUAAAGUGCACCAAAACAAUGUACUCCCUCCGUCCGGAAUUACUUGUCGCAGAAAUGCAUAAAAUUGGAUGUAUCUAGAACUAAAGUACAUCUAGAUACAUCCAUUUUUCCGACAAGUAUUUCAGGACGGAGGGAGUAUAACUCAUGUAAAUAUAGCAUGAAUACUUGAUAAAUUAUAGAUACAUUGGAGACAUAUCAGCAUCCCCAAGCUUAAUUCCUUCUCGUUCUUGAGUAGGUAAACAAUAAAAGUAAUAAUUUGUGAAGAGUGAAUGCUAGAACUAAUCAUUCCAAUAAGUUCAACAUAUCAUAAAGUGGUAAUGAAGUAUCUCACAACCUUUCAAGAUUAUAUUGCAAACAUAAAGCAAUCAAUGAAUUAAAGAUGACGACUAGGUACCCCGAUUUGAAGAUAACCAUCAUACUUAUACAAUUCUCAUGAAAUUUCUAUUAAAAGAGUGCAUGCAAAGCUAAGAGUGAUCCCGAUGCUCAAUACUUGUGCCAAAAGAGAGAAAGAUGGAAUUUACUCAACAUGAAAAGUACAUAGAGAGGCACUUCGCAUACGGAAGCAGGGAUUUACUUAUGUGCUAGAGCCCAUCUUUUAAAAGACAAAUAAUUUCAGUUGAGAGGUGUAUUUUUCCUGUCAAUGGUUUAACAACAAAGUUUCCAAUAUCUUACAUGCUAAACAUGUUAAUAGCACUUCCCAUGCAAAAGGUUUUUCUCCCAUUCCACCACAACAACACAAUCCAUGCCUAGCCAAAUCCAUGGGUGUCUGCCAGCUUUCAACUUUCCAGGGAGCAUUUUUAUAAAUGAAUUCAAGAUUGGGCAUCCAUAUUACCAGCUAAAAGAACAUGCGAUGCCCCCAUGUUUGGUUUUGGUAAUUGAUGACAAUCUCUAUGGACUAAUGGUUGUCUUGAGUUAUAUUUGAAGGUUUUGUCCAUAGGCUUUUCUUGAAGUCCAUGUGUUGGUUUCAAGGAGUUUAGGCCAACUCCACCGCGCGACCCCAAAUGGACGUCCGUUUUGUCCGUUUCGUCCGUUUGGGUAGGGAUUCCUGGGAUGCGGUGGCCGUGCGCCCAGCGCGCGGCCGCAUCCAUUUGCCCCAUCCUAUCCGUGAGGGCCAAAAAUGCCCAAAUUUGCAUCAAACUAGUUUCCAACCCAAAUAUUUGUCUGAAAAUUAAAAUAUUUUUACAACCCAAUUGAAAUUGUCUUAAAUAAAAUAGUUUUACAACCAAAUUGAAAUUGUCUUGACUGAACAUAAAUUGGACCAAUACAUCUAUUGGUUGCCAAUGUGAUCCCAGACGUGCUCAACCAAGUCAUUUUGAAGAUUCAAAUGAAUGUGCCAAUCACGCAUUUCACGGUGGAAUUGGACAAACUGUUCAAAUGUGGUCGGGUCUUGGUGCAGGGGCUCAAUAUUUUCACCUUGAUAAUCAAAUCCUUGGUCGAAGAUACUCUCAUCACGCUCGUCCUCGACGAUCAUGUUGUGCAUGAUCACACAAGCAGUCAUCACCUCCCAAAGCUUCCUUUCAUCCCAUGACAGUGCAGGGUUUCGAACGAUACCCCACCGGGAUUGAAGCACACCAAAAGCACGUUCCACAUCCUUUCUAACACUCUCUUGCAUUUAGGCAAAUCUCUUUCUCUUCUCACCUUGGGGUUUCGAGAUUGUCUUCACAAAAGUUGACCACUGAGGAUAUAUACCAUCUGCUAGAUAGUAUCCUUUGUUGUACUGGUGGCCGUUGAUCUCAAAGUUGACAGGUGGGGAGUUUCCUUCUGCAAGCCUCGCGAAGACUGGAGAACGUUGCAGCAUGUUGAUAUCAUUGUGAGAACCUGCCAUACCGAAGAAAGAAUGACAUAUCCAAAGAUCUUGCGAUGCCACCGCUUCUAAUAUGACAGUGCACCCGUUAACAUGCCCCUUGUACUGGCCCUGCCAAGCAAAUGGACAGUUCUUCCACUCCCAAUGCAUACAAUCUAUGCUGCCAAGCAUGCCUGGAAAGCCUCUAGCUGCAUUGGUCACCAACAAUCUCUCUGUAUCAGCGGCAGUUGGCUGCCUCAAGUACUCUGGGCCAAACACCUCGAUCACAGCCUGGCAAAACUUGUACAUUGACAUCAGACAUGUUGUCUCACUCAUACGCACAUACUUGUCCACCAGAUCGCCUGGAAUACCAUAUGCAAGCAUGCGGAUGGCCGCGGUGCAUUUCUGGUAAGAGGAGAAUCCAAGCUUGCCAAGGGCAUCCGUCUUGCACUCGAAGUAUGGGUCAUGAGCAACCACUCCCUCUCGGAUACGAUUGAACACAUGCCUUGCCAUACAAAAACGGCGACGAAAUUUAUCCGGCUUGAAGAGCGGGGUGUUGGCAAAGUAAUCGGCAUAGAGCAGGGCGUGGCCUCUCUCCCUGUUGCGGUUCAGGUUGGGAGCACGGUCAGGGAGUGACCCCCUGUACCGAGGAAGCUGCCUUGAAUAUGGUCGUGAACGACCAGUGCAGCCACCACAAGAUCUUCAUCAUCCAACAACGAAUCGUCCGAUGAACAAAGGAAGUGAUGGAAGAAAAACUCGUCUCCACUGUCCAUACCUUUGUUGGCAAAAGGUCAAACACCUUGUGGUCGCGGUGGCGAAGUGGCCGCGAUGAUCACCUCGAUGCAGCAAGGGUGGUUGCUGGCCGGCUACUGGCCGCUCUGGAGCUCUCGUCGGAAUCUGCCUCGGCCAUCGUGGUCCGUCGCUAGCAGUCGUGUCCCCUCCGGCACCGGCAAGGACAGCGACGGCCAAACCUCCCCCGAUAGACGACCAAAACUACGGCGAAAGCGCGGGCAUGGUGGCGGCCAUGUCGAGACGUGGUUUGGUAUGGACGGCGGGGGGGCUGCGUGGUGAGGAGGCAGCCGGAGAAUAGGGCGGCGCCAGCGGCGGGGCGGGGCGGGGAGAGAGGGUGAAGCGUUGGGAGCGGAGGGACUGCUAGUGUCCCGGACAAGCGGGCCACGGGGGGGCAAGGGCGUGCGUCGCGGUCGUCCGCGUGCGUCUGUUUCACCCCAAACCGAGCGCAAGUUUGGGCUAGGGAUGGGUCGAAAACGGACGGAAUCUGGACAUUUGUCCGUUUGAGGCCGUGCGCUGGGCCGCCUCUUUUGUCCCUUUUACCCCAAACGGACGGAGCCGGACAGGAUAGGGUCGCGCGGUGGAGUUGGCCUUAUGAGUUGACCAAGGUGCUAUUAAGGAGUUAUCCAAAGAUUGGUCAUGUGAGUGUUGAGCUUAUUGCAAGCAUGUUUUGAAGAAGAAGAUUGUGUGAUCAUUCAUGUUUACCUUCAAGACAUCAUCCAAAUGAAGAGAGUUGGAAAGAUUCAAGGUUGAUCAAGACUAAGUCAAGAGUGAAUCAAGUUGAUCAACUCACAAAGCGUAGAAGAUGUACCGAGAGGGAUCAAGUGAUCCCAUGGUAUGGUAAGUAUUGUCAAUUACGCUCUGUGUACUAACCCAUGGUCUUCGUGAGAGUUCUUUGUGGGGUUAGGAUGCGGUGUGCAAGUUCAAGUGAUGAAUCACGAAGAGAUCAAGUGCUUGAAGCUUGCCGCCCAUUGUGGUGACAAUGGACUUGUGAAGAUGAGCCGAAGAGUUGAUCACCCAUAGUGGACUAUGGGGGAGCAAUCAUCUAGUCUUCAUCGAGCCAACGCAAUCAAGAAAGGUGGUCCAACUUGAGGGAGUCAAGAUCGUCAUCAUCUAGCUCAAUUGGACCAUGUGCAAGGCAAAGGUUUUCCCUUGAUAGGUUUUCUAUUUUACCGGUCUCAUGGUGGUAGUUGGGAGGCCGGGUUAUAGGAUCGUUUGCCGUACUAUCAAGGGGGGCUCUCAAGCUGGUAGCUUGAUCGUAUCGUUAGUAGAGAGCUCAAACCAUUGCAUCCUUGCAUCUUGUUUCUUGGUUCUUGUUCGGUUCUCUUUGUGAGUCUUAUAGCUUAUGGUCAUCUUGAUGACAAGCUUGAGUUCAUCGAAAACGGAGUUUGCAUGCGUCUUCUAUGAUGUUUUCGGUGUUGGAGGUUUUACCGGUCUUAUCCGAGGAAGGGUUCUCACCAUUUUCUUAUGGGCCUUUUCUAAAUUGAUUCUUAUUGAUAUUUCUUUCAAGAUUGUGUUAGCCCUUUUCGCUAGCUUUCCAACAAACUUGGUUUCAUCGAAGUCAGAGUCCGUUUGCAAAUUGUGGCAGUUUUGGUGUUCUGAAAAGGCUGCAGCGGUACUACCGCGAAUUGGAGCGGAUGUAAUUUUUUACUACCGCUCUAGAGCGGUACUACUGCGGCUCCUACAGCGGUAGUACCGCUCCGGACCAAAAACUCAUCCCAAGUCCUGCGGUGGUAGGCCCGGAUGUAAUUUUUUAGUACCGCUCGCAAGCAGUAGUACCGCUACCAUUAGUAGUAGUACCGCUACCCCUAGCAGUAGUACCGUGAGGUCAAGCGGUACUACCGCUCCGACAGUUCUUCUAGCUUGUUUGCCUCCUCGCUGUUGUGUUUCAAAGGGGUACUACCGCCCUAGCGGUAGUACCGCUCCUUGGAGCGGUAGUACCGCUCUGUGCGGGCUGUGAGCAUAACGGUUGGAUUUUUCCCCACCUAUAAAAGGGGGUCUUCUUCCCCAAUGAACCUUAUCCUUUGAGCUCGUGUUCUUCCCCCAUUGUUGACCUUCUUCGAGCUUUCUAACUCUCAAUCCCUCCAUGGAUUCUUGCUAGUUUUUGAGGGAAAAGAGAGAGGAGAUCUAGAUCCACAUUUCCACCAAUCACUUUCUCCUCUAUGUGAGGGGAACUCAUUGGAUCUAGAUCUUGGAGUUCUUGGUGUUCUCCUUCUUGUUCUUCCUCUCAUCUUCCUCCCUAGCAUUAGUUGCUUCGGUGAGAUUUGAGAGAGAAGGAUUUGGGCACUCCGUGUGCCCUUGCCAUUGCAUUUGGUGCAUCGGUUUGAGUUCUCCACGUGGUACGUGGAAGUUACAAGUUGAGAAGGUGCCCUUGAGCUUGUUCCUCUUGGGUGCUUGGGCGCCCUAGACGGUUAGUGGUGUUCGGAGCUCAAUCAUUGUGGUGUAAAGCUCCAGGCAAGCGUCGGGGUCUCCAAUUCGGUUGUGGAGAUCGCCCCGAGCAAUUUGACGGGUUCCGGUGACCGCCCCCAAGGGUUGCCAAAGUGUACGGGUUCGGUGAUCGCCCCCAAGGGUUGCCAUUUGUACGGGUUCGGUGACCGCCCUCAAGGGUACCUUAGUGGAAUCACAACAUCUUGCAUUGUGCGGCGGCGUGAGGAGAUUACGGUGGCCCUAGUGGCUUCUUGGGGAGCAUUGUGCCUCCACACCGCUCCAAACGGAGAUUAGCAUCUGCAAGGGUGUGAACUUCGGGAUACAUCGUCGUCUCCGCGUGCCUCAGUUAUCUCUUUCCCGAGCCCUUUACUUAUGCACUUUACUUUGUGAUAGCCAUAUUGUUCUUUGUCAUAUAUCUUGCUAUCACAUAUUUGUUUAUCUUGCUUAGCAUAAGAUUUGUAGGGAUGAUUGGUCUCCCUCCUCCUCCGGCCGUGUUGCCUUCUCAACUUCUUCUACUUCACCUACAUGUGGAUUGCCACAAGGUAAUGCUAGGGUGAGUAGUGGUGGCCAUUGCAAUGAUGAUAGUGUGCUUGUUCUUGGUGAUUCUUCAUCACUAUCUUAUUGCAAUGGUCCUUCUUUUGACUUUAACACUUCGAGCACCUUACAUGUUUCACACGCUCGUGUUGGUAGUCCUUGCAUAUCAUGUAGAAAUUGCUUGCUCAAAUCUCAUGGUGAUAUGCUUGCUAUGUCUUGUUGCCAUGAUAAAAAUGUAUCUAUUUCCUCGAGUUGUUGUGCUAACAAUGUAGAGGAAACUCAACGCUCCAUGGAACAAGAUGUGGUAUUGAAUGCUGCUUCAAGGGAUCCUACACCAUCAUCUAUUGCAUUUUGCCUUAUGGCCAAGGCCUCAAAGGUAUAUCCCACUUUGAAUGCCAAUAUUGUUGGGGAACGUUGCAGAAAAUUAAAAAAUUUCCUAUGGUUUCACCAAGAUCCAUAUAUGAGUUCAUCUAAGCAAUGAGUCAAGGGAGUGAGUUUGCAUCUACAUACCACUUGUAGAUCGGGUGCAGAAGCGUUCACGGGAAGGGUGAUGAUGGAGUCAUACUCGUCGUGAUUCGGAUCACCGAUGACCAAGUGCUGAAUGGACAACACCUCCGCAUUCAGCACGCGUACGGAACAGACGACGUCUCCUCCGUCUUGAUCCAUCAAGGAGGAAGGAGAGGUUGAGGAAGAUUGCUCCAACGGCAGCACGACGGCGUGGUGAUGUUGGUGCAGCAGUACUCCGACAGGGCUUCGCCAAGCACUUAACGGAGGAGGAGAGGUGUUGGGGAGGGGAGGGGCUGCGCCUUGGGAUGUGUACAGUAGCCCUCCCCUCACCCCUCUAUUUAUAGGGGAAGGGGCAAGGGGGGCUGACCCCUCUAGAUGGGAUCUAGAGGGGGGGCGGCGGCCAGGGAGGGGGGACUUGCCCCCCCAAGCAAGGGGGGCGCCCCCCUUAGGGUUUCCCCCCAACCCUAGGCGCAUGGGCCCAAGGUGGGGGCGCGCCCAGCCCUCCAGGGGCUGGCUCCCUCCCCUUUGCGGCCCAUGUGGCCCUCCGGGAGGGGAGGCCCCUCCUGGUGGACCCUCGGAACCUCUCCGGUGGCCUCGGUACAAUACCGAUAAGCCCCCGAAACUUUCCGGUGUCCGUAUGACAACUUCCCAUAUAUAAAACUUCACCUCUGGACCAUUCCGGAACUCCUCGUGACGUCCGGGAUCUCAUUCGAGACUCCGAACAACAUUCGGUAAUCACAUACAAGUCUUCCUAACAACCCUAGCGUCACCGAACCUUAAGUGUGUAGACCCUACGGGUUCGGGAGACAUGCAGACAUGACCGAGAUGACUCUCCGGUCAAUAAGCAACAGCGGGAUCUGGAUACCCAUGUUGGCUCCCACAUGUUCCACAAUGAUUUCAUCGGUUGAACCACGAUGUCGAGGAUUCGAUCAAACCCCAUAUACAAUUCCCUUUGUCAAUCGGUACGUUACUUUCCCGAGACUCGAUCGUCGGUAUCCCAAUACCUUGUUGAGUCUCGUUACCGGCAAGUCACUUUACUCGUACCGUAAUGCAUGAUCCCGUGACCAACCACUUGGUCACUUUGAGCUCAUUAUGAUGAUGCAGUACCGAGUGGGCCCAGAGAUACCUCUCCGUCAUAUGGAGUGACAAAUCCCAGUCUCGAUCCGUGUCAACCCAACAGACACCUUUGGAGAUACCUGUAGUGCACCUUUAUAGUCACCCAGUUACGUUGUGACGUUUGAUACACCCAAAGCACUCCUAUGGUAUCCGGGAGUUACACGAUCUCAUGGUCUAUGGAAGAGAUACUUGACAUUGGAAAAGCUCUAGCAAACGAACUACACGAUCUUGUGCUAUGCUUAGGAUUGGGUCUUGUCCAUCACAUCAUUCUCCUAAUGAUGUGAUCCCGUUAUCAACGACAUCCAAUGUCCAUAGCCAGGAAACCAUGACUAUCUGUUGAUCACAACGAGCUAGUCAACUAGAGGCUCACUAGGGACAUAUUGUGGUCUAUGUAUUCACACGUGUAUUACGAUUUCCGGAUAAUACAGUUAUAGCAUGAAUAAAAGACAAUUAUCAUGAACAAGGAAAUAUAAUAAUACUUUUAUUAUUGCCUCUAGGGCAUAUUUCCAACAGUCUCCCACUUGCGCUAGAGUCAAUAAUCUAGUUACAUUGUGAUGAAUCGAACACCCAUAGAGUUCUGGUGUUGAUCAUGUUUUGCUCGCGAGAGAGGUUUAGUGAACGGAUCUGCGACAUUCAGAUCCGUAUGUACUUUGUAAAUAUCUAUGUCCCCAUCUUGAACAUUUUCACGGAUGGAGUUGAAACGACGCUUGAUGUGCCUGGUCUUCUUGUGAAACCUGGGCUCCUUGGCAAGGGCAAUAGCUCCAGUGUUGUCACAGAAGAGUUUGAUCGGCCCCGGCGCAUUGGGUAUGACUCCUAGGUCGGUGAUGAACUCCUUCACCCAAAUUGCUUCAUGCGCUACCUCCGAGGCUGCCAUGUAUUCCGCUUCACAUGUAGAUCCUGCCACGAUGCUCUGCUUGCAGCUGCACCAGCUUACUGCUCCACCAUUCAACAUAUACACGUAUCCGGUUUGUGACUUAGAGUCAUCUAGAUCUGUGUCGAAGCUAGCGUCGACGUAACCCUUUACGACGAGCUCUUCGUCACCUCCAUAAACGAGAAACAUGUCCUUUGUCCUUUUCAGGUACUUCAGGAUAUUCUUGACCGCUGUCCAGUGUUCCUUGCUGGGAUUACUUUGGUACCUCGCUACCAAACUUACGGCAAGGUUUGCAUCAGGUCUGGUACACAGCAUGGCAUACAUAAUAGAUCCUAUGGCUGAAGCAUAGGGGAUGACACUCAUCUCUUCUUUAUCUUUUGCCGUGGUCGGGGACUAAGCCGAGCUCAAUCUCACACCUUGUAACAUAGGCAAGAACGCCUUCUUGGACUGAUCCAUUUUGAACCUUUUCAAAAUCUUAUCAAGGUAUGUGCUUUGUGAAAGACCUAUGAGGCGUCUCGAUCUAUCUCUAUAGAUCUUGACACCUAAUAUAUAAGCAGCUUGUCCAAGGUCCUUCAUUGAAAAACACUUAUUCAAGUAGGCCUUAAUGUUGUCCAGAAGUUCUAUAUCAUUUCCCAUCAGGAGUAUGUCAUCUACAUAUAAUAUGAGAAAUGCUACAGAGCUCCCACUCACUUUCUUGUAAACGCAGGCUUCUCCACAAGUCUGCAUAAACCCAAACGCUUUGAUCAUCUCAUCAAAGCAAAUGUUCCAACUCCGAGAUGCUUGCACUAGUCCAUAAAUGGAUCGCUGGAGCUUGCAUACUUUGUUAGCGUUCUUAGGAUCGACAAAACCUUCCGGCUGCAUCAUAUACAACUCUUCCUUAAGAUGUCCGUUAAGGAAUGCCGUUUUGACGUCCAUCUGCCAUAUCUCAUAAUCAUAGUAUGCGGCAAUUGCUAACAUGAUUCGGACGGACUUCAGCUUUGCUACAGGAGAGAAUGUCUCGUCGUAGUCAAUCCCUUGAACUUGUCGAUAACACUUAGCGACAAGUCGAGCUUUAUGGAUGGUAACAUUUCCAUCCGCGUCCGUCUUCUUCUUAAAAAUCCAUUUGUUUUCUAUCGCUCGCCGAUCAUCGGGCAAGUCAGUCAAAGUCCAUACUUUGUUUUCAUACAUGGAUUCUAUCUCGGAUUUCAUGGCUUCAAGCCAUUUGUUGGAAUCUGGGCCCGCCAUCGCUUCUUCAUAAUUCGAAGGUUCGCCGUUGUCUAACAACAUGAUUUCCAGGACAGGGUUGCCGUACCACUCUGGUGCGGAACAUGUCCUUGUGGACCUACGAAGCUCAGUAGCAACUUGAUCCGAAGUACCUUGAUUAUCAUUAUUGUUUUCCUCUUCAGUUGGUGUAGGCAUCACAGGAACGGUUUCCUGCGCUGCACCACUUUCCCGUUCGAGAGGUAGUACUUCAUCGAGUUCUACUUUCCUCCCACUUACUUCUUUCGAGAGAAACUCUUUUUCCAGAAAGCAUCCGUUCUUGGCAACAAAGAUCUUGCCCUCGGACCUUAAGUAGAAGGUAUACCCAACGGUUUCCUUAGGGUAUCCUAUGAAGACGCAUUUUUCCGACUUGGGUUCGAGCUUUUCAGGUUGAAGUUUCUUGACAUAAGCAUCGCAUCCCCAAACUUUUAGAAACGACAGCUUAGGUUUCUUUCCAAACCAUAAUUCAUAUGGUGUCGUCUCAAUGGAUUUAGACGGUGGCCUAUUAAAAGUGAAUGUAGUUGUCUCUAGAGCGUAUCCCCAAAAUGAUAGCGGUAAAUCGGUAAGAGACAUCAUAGACCGCACCAUAUCUAAUAGAGUGCGAUUACGACGUUCGAACACACCGUUACACUGAGGUGUUCCAGGCGGCGUGAGUUGUGAAACGAUUCCACAUUGCCUUAAGUGUGUACCAAAUUCGUGACUUAAGUAUUCUCCUCCAUGAUCUGAUCGUAGGAACUUUAUCUUUCGGUCACGUUGAUUCUCUACUUCAUUCUGAAAUUCCUUGAACUUUUCAAAGGUCUCAGACUUGUGUUUCAUUAAGUAGACAUACCCAUAUCUACUCAAGCCAUCAGUAAGAGUGAGAACAUAACGAUAUCCUCCGCGAGCCUCAACGCUCAUUGGACCGCACACAUCGGUAUGUAUGAUUUCCAACAAGUUGGUUGCUCGCUCCAUUGUUCCGGAGAAAGGAGUCUUGGUCAUUUUGCCCAUGAGGCAUGGUUCGCAUGUGUCAAAUGAUUCAUAAUCAAGAGACUCUAAAAGUCCAUCAGCAUGGAGCUUCUUCAUGCGCUUGACACCAAUGUGACCAAGGCGGCAGUGCCACAAGUAUGUGGGACUAUCGUUAUCAACUUUACAUCUUUUGGUAUUCACACUAUGAAUAUGUGUAAUACUACGCUCGAGAUUCAUUAAGAAUAAACCAUUGACCAUCGGAGCAUGAACAUAAAACAUAUCUCUCAUAUAAAUAGAACAACCAUUAUUCUCGGAUUUAAAUGAGUAGCCAUCUCGCAUCAAACGAGAUCCAGAUACAAUGUUCAUGCUCAAACUUGGCACCAAAUAACAAUUAUUAAGGUUCAAAACUAAUCCCGUAGGUAAAUGUAGAGGUAGCGUGCCGACGACGAUCACAUCGACCCUGGAACCAUUCCCGACGUGCAUCGUCACCUCGUCCUUCGCCAGUCUCCGUUUAUUCCGCAGCUCCUGCUGUGAGUUACAAAUAUGAGCAACGGCACCGGUAUCAAAUACCCAGGAGUUACUACGAGUACUGGUAAGGUACACAUCAAUUACAUGUAUAUCAAAUAUACCUUUGGUGUUGCCGGCCUUCUUAUCCGCUAAGUAUUUGGGGCAGUUCCGCUUCCAGUGACCAUUCCCCUUGCAAUAAAAGCACUCAGUCUCAGGCUUGGGUCCAUUCUUUGAGUUCUUUCCGGUAACUGGCUUACCGGGCGCGGCAACAUCCUUGACGUCCUUUUUGAAGUUCUUCUUGCCCUUGCCCUUCUUGAACUUAGUGGUCUUAUUGACCAUCAACACUUGAUGUUCUUUCUUGAUUUCAGCCUGUGCUGACUUCAGCAUUGAAAAUACUUCAGGAAUGGUCUUCACCAUCCCCUGCAUAUUGUAGUUCAUCACAAAGCUCUUGUAGCUUGGUGGGAGCGACUGGAGGAUUCUGUCAAUGACCGCCUCAUCAGGGAGGUUAAUGUUCAACUGAGUCAGGCGGUUGUGCAACCCAGACAUUUUGAGUAUGUGCUCACUGACAGAACAGUUUUCCUCCAUCUUACAACUAUAGAACUUGUCAGAGACAUCAUAUCUCUCGACCCGGGCAUGAGCUUGGAAAACUAGUUUCAGCUCUUCGAACAUCUCAUAUGCUCCGUGAUGCUCAAAACGCUUUCGGAGCCCUGGUUCUAAGCUGUAAAGCAUGCCGCACUGAACGAGGGAGUAAUCAUCAGCAGGAGACUGCCAAGCAUUCAUAACGUCUUGGUUCUCGGGUACGGGAGCGUCACCUAGCGGUCCUUCUAGGACAUAUUGUUUCCUGGCAGCUAUGAGGAUGAUCCUCAGGUUCCGGACCCAGUCCGUAUAGUUGUUGCCAUCAUCUUUCAGCUUGGUUUUCUCUAGGAACGCGUUGAAGUUCAUGUUGACAUGAGCGUUGGCCAUUUGAUCUACAAGACAUAUUUGCAAAGGUUUUAGACUAAGUUCAUGAUAAUUAAGUUCAUCUAAUCAAAUUAUUCAAUGAACUCCCACUCAGAUUAGACAUCCCUCUAGUCAUCUAAGUGUUACACGAUCCGAGUCGACUAGGCCGUGUCCGAUCAUCAGUGAGACGGACUAGUCAUCGUCGGUGAACAUCUUCAUGUUGAUCAUAUCUUCCAUACGACUCGUGUUCGACCUUUCGGUCUCCGUGUUCCGAGGCCAUGUCUGUACAUGCUAGGCUCGUCAAGUUAACCCUAAGUGUUUUGCAUGUGUAAAGCUGUCUUACACCCGUUGUAUGUGAACGUAAGGAUCUAUCACACCCGAUCAUCACGUGGUGCUUCGAAACGAUGAACUGUAGCAACGGUGCACAGUUAGGGGAGAACACUUCUUGAAAUUGUUGUAAGGGAUCAUCUUAUUUACUACCGUCGUUCUAAGUAAACAAGAUGCAUAAACAUAAUAAACAUCACAUGCAAUUAUAUAGUUGUGACAUGAUAUGGCCAAUAUCAUAUAGCUCCAUUGAUCUCCAUCUUCGAGGCUCCAUGAUCAUCUUGUCACCGGCAUGACACCAUGAUCUCCAUCAUCGUGUCUUCAUGAAGUUGUCACGCCAACGACUACUUCUACUUCUAUGGCUAACGCGUUUAGCAAUAAAGUAAAGUAGUUUACAUGGCGUUCUUCAAUGACACGCAGGUCAUACAAAAAUAAAGACAACUCCUAUGGCUCCUACCGGUUGUCAUACUCAUCG
rnacentral:lncRNA from 1 species